UGGGGAAUAUUGCACAAUGGGCGAAAGCCUGAUGCAGCAACGCCGCGUGAGUGAUGAAGGCCUUCGGGUUGUAAAGCUCUGUCUUUUGGGACGAUAAUGACGGUACCAAAGGAGGAAGCCACGGCUAACUACGUGCCAGCAGCCGCGGUAAUACGUAGGUGGCAAGCGUUGUCCGGAUUUACGGGCGUAAAGGAUGCGUAGGCGGAUUUUUAAGUGAGAUGUGAAAACCCUAAGCUUAACUUGGGGACUGCAUUUCAUACUGGAAAUCUAGAGUGCGGGAGAGGAGAAUGGAAUUCCUAGUGUAGCGGUGAAAUGCGUAGAGAUUAGGAAGAACACCAGUGGCGAAGGCGAUUCUCUGGACCGUAACUGACGCUGAGGCAUGAAAGCGUGGGUAGCAAACAGGAUUAGAUACCCUGGUAGUCCACGCCGUAAACGAUGAGUACUAGGUGUAGGAGGUAUCGACCCCUUCUGUGCCGCAGUUAACACAAUAAGUACUCCGCCUGGGAAGUACGAUCGCAAGAUUAAAAACUUAAAUGAAUUGACGGGGGUCAUAGCUGUUUCCU
rnacentral:rRNA from 1 species